CUGGGAUGACACUGACGCUCAUGUACGAAAGCGUGGGUAGCAAACAGGAUUAGAUACCCUGGUAGUCCACGCCCUAAACGAUGUCAACUGGUUGUUGGGGGAGUGAAAUCCCUUAGUAACGAAGCUAACGCGUGAAGUUGACCGCCUGGGGAGUACGGUCGCAAGAUUAAAACUCAAAGGAAUUGACGGGGACCCGCACAAGCGGUGGAUGAUGUGGAUUAAUUCGAUGCAACGCGAAAAACCUUACCUACCCUUGACAUGUCCGGAAUCCUGCAGAGAUGCGGGAGUGCCCGAAAGGGAAUCGGAACACAGGUGCUGCAUGGCUGUCGUCAGCUCGUGUCGUGAGAUGUUGGGUUAAGUCCCGCAACGAGCGCAACCCUUAUCAUUAGUUGCUACGCAAGGGCACUCUAAUGAGACUGCCGGUGACAAACCGGAGGAAGGUGGGGAUGACGUCAAGUCCUCAUGGCCCUUAUGGGUGGGGCUUCACACGUCAUACAAUGGUCGGUACAGAGGGUUGCCAAGCCGCGAGGCGGAGCCAAUCCCAGAAAGCCGAUCGUAGUCCGGAUUGUUCUCUGCAACUCGAGAGCAUGAAGUCGGAAUCGCUAGUAAUCGCGGAUCAGCAUGUCGCGGUGAAUACGUUCCCGGGUCUUGUACACACCGCCCGUCACACCAUGGGAGUGGAAUCUGGCAGAAGUAGGUAGCCUAACCGCAAGGAGGGCGCUUACCACGCUGGGUUUCAUGACUGGGGUGAAGUCGUAACAAGGUAGCCGUAGGGGAACCUGCGGCUGGAUCACCUCCUU
rnacentral:rRNA from 1 species